AAGAGAUGUGUGAUGACGCAUAUCAAUAAGCGGAGGAAAAGAAACUAACAAGGAUUCCCCUAGUAACGGCGAGUGAAGCGGGAAGAGCUCAAAUUUGAAAUCUUCAAGGGUUUCCCUUGACGAAUUGUAGUUUAAAGAAGUGUUUUCUGUUAGAGAGGUGGUAAAAGUUCUUUGGAAUAGGACAUCAUAGAGGGUGAGAAUCCCGUAUUUGAUCACUUUCUACUAACGUUGUGAUACACUUUCAAAGAGUCGGAUUGUUUGGGAAUGCAGUCCAAAAUGGGUGGUAAAUUUCAUCUAAAGCUAAAUAUUGGCGAGAGACCGAUAGCGAACAAGUACCGUGAGGGAAAGAUGAAAAGAACUUUGAAAAGAGAGUUAAACAGUACGUGAAAUUGUCAAAAGGGAAGCGUUUGACACCAGUGUUGUUUUUCCGAAAAUCAAUUAUGAAUGGCUUGAUUUUAAGUUUCAUGACCUUAAAAGCUUGUUUCUUAUUUUUCAUGUCUUUCGUAAUGCACUUUUCGGUUAACAAGUCAACAUCAAUUUCUUUUGUUGUAAAAGGGUAUGAGGAAGGUGGCUUUCUUUUCGGAGAAAGUGUUUAUAGCCUUGUGCCUCUGCAAUCGGAGAGAUUGAGGUCUGCAGCGUAGAUCCUUCGGGGUUAGAUACGUUUGUGCUAAGUUAUAGCUUUUCAUAGACAACUUGUUGACUAUGUUAAGUCUUGUGACUUACUCGCAUGACUGCUAUUUUACCUACGCUUAGGAUGUUGAACUCUAUCACACACAG
rnacentral:rRNA from 1 species